CGACUAUACUAAAAUUGUCUAUCGAUUAAUUCUUUAGUGUUAAUUCCGUCAAUAUUUGUCUUUAAACAAUUCGACACGUGUUUCGCCUUUACACGAGGCAUCCUCAGGACGUGUUGUCUCGCCAAAAUCUGGCACGAGACUGAAUAGUAAAUACCGAUUAAUUAUUAUUCAUGUACAUAGAAAACCGUACAAAUUCUAUAUAGUGGUGUAUUUUAGUUCGCUGCAAUUUCUUCACCAGUCCAUAAUGAAUUUUGCAAUUGAAACCAAGACAUUAUAACAGCCAUGAAAUUAAAAAUUACUUUAUUUUGCUUUUUGUUGUAUAAAUCUUGUGCACAUGGAGGCCGUUAUGUUUAUUCAUUCGGUAAUAACGACAGUAACAGUACAACAAUUAUUCACAUUGAAGACGGGACUAUAUCUCAGCAUGAAACUGAUAUAAUUAUACCAGUACAACAAGGCAUGAACGUGACAUAUGUGGAAGUUGAAGUUAAUUCACAAACACCUCCUAAAGUUGAGUACAACGAAGAUCUGAAAAAAAUCAUCAUCUAUAACAGUCUUCGUCAGAUUACCCCGUCUAAAUACAGCCUCUAUGUAAAAGCAGUAUGCACGAAUUCUACCCCUGAGCCUAGAAAUAUCUACGAACGGAUCAAAAUGGGGAUAUAUGCAAUGGUGCAAAAGUUGAUAUACGCAAAUAAGACGAACCAACAACGCUGCGAGGAGAGGGUUACAUUCUAGUGAAGUAUACUGUUACAAUUUACAUUACCAAGAGCCUGGGUAACAACCCAAGAAUGUACCAUAUAAAAUGUUAUAAAC